UGAUAGCUAUGAAGCGUGAGGUUGCUGCUUAUAAUAGCAGGUUUUCCGUGGAGCGAAUGUCAAGUCUUGAUACUGACGGCAA
rnacentral:ncRNA from 1 species